GACGAACGCUGUCGGCGUGCUUAACACAUGCAAGUCGAACGGAAAGGCCCUGCUUUUGUGGGGUGCUCGAGUGGCGAACGGGUGAGUAACACGUGAGUAACCUGCCCUUGACUUUGGGAUAACUUCAGGAAACUGGGGCUAAUACCGGAUAGGAGCUCCUGCUGCAUGGUGGGGGUUGGAAAGUUUCGGCGGUUGGGGAUGGACUCGCGGCUUAUCAGCUUGUUGGUGGGGUAGUGGCUUACCAAGGCUUUGACGGGUAGCCGGCCUGAGAGGGUGACCGGCCACAUUGGGACUGAGAUACGGCCCAGACUCCUACGGGAGGCAGCAGUGGGGAAUAUUGCACAAUGGGCGGAAGCCUGAUGCAGCAACGCCGCGUGCGGGAUGACGGCCUUCGGGUUGUAAACCGCUUUCGCCUGUGACGAAGCGUGAGUGACGGUAAUGGGUAAAGAAGCACCGGCUAACUACGUGCCAGCAGCCGCGGUGAUACGUAGGGUGCGAGCGUUGUCCGGAUUUAUUGGGCGUAAAGGGCUCGUAGGUGGUUGAUCGCGUCGGAAGUGUAAUCUUGGGGCUUAACCCUGAGCGUGCUUUCGAUACGGGUUGACUUGAGGAAGGUAGGGGAGAAUGGAAUUCCUGGUGGAGCGGUGGAAUGCGCAGAUAUCAGGAGGAACACCAGUGGCGAAGGCGGUUCUCUGGGCCUUUCCUGACGCUGAGGAGCGAAAGCGUGGGGAGCGAACAGGCUUAGAUACCCUGGUAGUCCACGCUGUAAACGGUGGGUACUAGGUGUGGGGUCCAUUCCACGGGUUCCGUGCCGUAGCUAACGCUUUAAGUACCCCGCCUGGGGAGUACGGCCGCAAGGCUAAGACUCAAAGGAAUUGACGGGGCCCCGCACAAGCGGCGGAGCAUGCGGAUUAAUUCGAUGCAACGCGUAGAACCUUGCCUGGGUUUGACAUGGAUCGGGAGUGCUCAGAGAUGGGUGUGCCUCUUUUGGGGUCGGUUCACAGGUGGUGCAUGGCUGUCGUCAGCUCGUGUCGUGAGAUGUUGGGUUAAGUCCCGCAACGAGCGCAACCCUUGUUCACUGUUGCCAGCACGUUAUGGUGGGGACUCAGUGGAGACCGCCGGGGUCAACUCGGAGGAAGGUGGGGAUGACGUCAAGUCAUCAUGCCCCUUAUGUCCAGGGCUUCACGCAUGCUACAAUGGCUGGUACAGAGAGUGGCGAGCCUGUGAGGGUGAGCGAAUCUCGGAAAGCCGGUCUCAGUUCGGAUUGGGGUCUGCAACUCGACCUCAUGAAGUCGGAGUCGCUAGUAAUCGCAGAUCAGCAACGCUGCGGUGAAUACGUUCCCGGG
rnacentral:rRNA from 1 species